rnacentral:rRNA from 1 species
UGGGGAAUAUUGGACAAUGGGCGAAACCCUGACCCAGCAACGCCGCGUGAAGGAUGAAGUAUUUCGGUAUGUAAACUUCGAAAGAAUAGGAAGAAUAAAUGACGGUACUAUUUAUAAGGUCCGACUAACUACGUGCCAGCAGCCGCGGUAAUACGUAGGGACCAAGCGUUGUUCGGAUUUACUGGGCGUAAAGGGCGCGUAGGCGGCAUGACAAGUCACUUGUGAAAUCUCUGGGCUUAACCCAGAACGGCCAAGUGAUACUGUCGCGCUAGAGUGCAGAAGGGGCAAUCGGAAUUCUUGGUGUAGCGGUGAAAUGCGUAGAUAUCAAGAGGAACACCUGAGGUGAAGACGGGUUGCUGGGCUGACACUGACGCUGAGGCGCGAAAGCCAGGGGAGCAAACGGGAUUAGAUACCCUGGUAGUCCCUGAGCGGGCUGGCAAGGCGCAU